UGGGGAAUAUUGCACAAUGGGCGGAAGCCUGAUGCAGCAACGCCGCGUGCGGGAUGACGGCCUUCGGGUUGUAAACCGCUUUCGCCUGUGACGAAGCGUGAGUGACGGUAAUGGGUAAAGAAGCACCGGCUAACUACGUGCCAGCAGCCGCGGUGAUACGUAGGGUGCGAGCGUUGUCCGGAUUUAUUGGGCGUAAAGGGCUCGUAGGUGGUUGAUCGCGUCGGAAGUGUAAUCUUGGGGCUUAACCCUGAGCGUGCUUUCGAUACGGGUUGACUUGAGGAAGGUAGGGGAGAAUGGAAUUCCUGGUGGAGCGGUGGAAUGCGCAGAUAUCAGGAGGAACACCAGUGGCGAAGGCGGUUCUCUGGGCCUUUCCUGACGCUGAGGAGCGAAAGCGUGGGGAGCGAACAGGCUUAGAUACCCUGGUAGUCCACGCUGUAAACGGUGGGUACUAGGUGUGGGGUCCAUUCCACGGGUUCCGUGCCGUAGCUAACGCUUUAAGUACCCCGCCUGGGGAGUACGCCGCAAGGCUAAAACUUAAAUGAAUUGACGGGGUCAUAGCUGUUUCCU
rnacentral:rRNA from 1 species